rnacentral:rRNA from 1 species
CCUACGGGUGGCAGCAGUGGGGAAUAUUGCACAAUGGGGGAAACCCUGAUGCAGCGACGCCGCGUGAGCGAUGGAGUAUUUCGGUAUGUAAAGCUCUAUCAGCAGGGAAGAAAAUGACGGUAACUUACUAAAAAGCCCCGGCUAACUACGUUCCCGCAGCCGCCGUAAUAAGUAGGGGGCAAGCGUUAUCCGGAUUUACUGGGGGUAAAGGGAGCGUAGACGGCUGGGCAAGGCCGAUGUGAAAGGCUGGGGCUCAACCCCAGGACUGCCUUUGGAACUGUCAUGCUAGAGUGUCGGAGAGGCAGGCGGAAUUCCGGGUGUAGCGGUGAAAUGCGUAGAUAUUCGGAGGAACACCGGUGGCGAAGGCGGCCAACUGGACUUUAACUGACGCUGAGGCUCGAAAGUGUGGGGAGCAAACAGGAUUUGAUACCCCGGUAGUC